AGUCAGACAGCACCAACCCUUCUGCAACAUCAGGCCAUCAGGAACUGUUUCCUGACAGCGGCUUGUUUGUCUCUUCCUUCCGACUUCCUGCUAUGCACCAGUCAGCGAGACAGGACUCAAUGCGUCUGUUUCACUCACUGUUUGACCACUUCUUCACUGUGGAAGAGUGUCAGAAAUCUGUUGCUUUUGGUCGCCAUGGCAAGCCCCCAGAAGGAAAGAAGCUGCUUGAAAGGAAGAAGGUGGACGGAAUUCUAACCUAUGUCCUGAGAUGUGCAACCAUGCCAGGUUGGACAAAAAUUGAUGACAGCAAACUGAAGAAGGCCUUCAUAAACAAAUGUAGGGCCAGAGCAGGAGAGAACAGCAGUAGACCUGAAUGCACUCCUUAGCAAUGGUCGCUGUUUGUUGAGUUGUUGGUGAUGUCCCCUUUCCCCAGUCUUCAGUUUCACCAGGCUGGACUUUUUGUCCCGUUUUAUUGCACUUAGCAGGCAAGUCCCUGCAAUAGUUAGCACUUUACAUAGAAACCUUUCUCUGCUGGUUCCACAGGUUAUUUAUUUUUAUUUCAAGUGAAAUGUUUGGUUUUAUAUUUUAUAUAAAGUGUAUAAGUGUUUUAAUGUGCCCCAGUUUAACAUGUCCCCUUUCCCCAGGCUUAAAGGUAUAGUUCGGUAUUUUUGAACCUGGGCCUUAUUUCUGUCAUGGGGUGCCUUAAUCUACUAAUUGGUAGCAUUUUGGUGAAGAUCGGCGUAGUUUUGACGUUGUUCAGACCAUCCCGAUCGAGCGUAUAUCCAUAUGACGGGAGUAAGCCGGGCACAGACAAUACAGCCUCUAAAUAAGUCAUUAGGUCUUUAUUUCACCAAUGCUUUAAGAUGAAUGAAGGAAUGAACGCGUGCUACCGCCCCGUUAGCUCAGAGUGAGCUCAGAGCUGCCGUGUUGUUAUUAUUGAUCCGGUUCACUUGGGAUCAGCUGGGCUCUAGCGCCCCCGUCGAUGACGUCAUCCCAGGUGAACCGGUUGUAGAAAAGCCUCAAUAACAACAACACGGCAGCUCUGAGCUAACGGGGCGGUAGCACGCGUUCAUUCCUUCAUUCAUCUUAAAGCAUUGGUGAAAUAAAGACCUAAUGACUUAUUUAGAGGCUGUAUUGUCUGUGCCCGGCUUACUCCCGUCAUAUGGAUAUACGCUCGAUCGCGAUGGUCUGAACAGCGUCAAAACUACGCCGAUCUUCACCAACAUGCUACCAAUUAGUAGAUUAAGGCACCCCAUGACAUAAAUAAGGCCCAGGUUAAAAAAAAAAAAACUAUUCCUUUUAAGUUUCACCAGGCUGGACAUUCUUGUUUCCUGUUUUAUUGCACUUAGCAGGCAAGUCCCUGCAAUAGUUAGCACUUUAUAUAGAAACCUGUCUCUGCUGGUUGCACAGGUUAUUUAUUUUUAUUUCAAGUGAAAUGUUUGGUUUUAUAUUUUAUAAAGCGCUGUAAUGUGCCCCAGUGUUUAUAAAAGAGUAAAAUUUGCACUGAUAAACUGA